rnacentral:misc_RNA from 1 species
UACGGAGGGGGCAAGCGUUAAUCGGAAUUACUGGGCGUAAAGCGCGCGUAGGCGGUUUGGUAAGUCGGAUGUGAAAGCCCCGGGCUCAACCUGGGAAUUGCAGUCGAUACUGCGUGACUAGAGUACGGAAGAGGGUGGUGGAAUUUCCUGUGUAGCGGUGAAAUGCGUAGAUAUAGGAAGGAACACCAGUGGCGAAGGCGACCAUCUGGACUGAUACUGACGCUGAGGUGCGAAAGCGUGGGGAGCAAACAGG